rnacentral:rRNA from 1 species
UACGAAGGGUGCGAGCGUUGUUCGGAAUUACUGGGCGUAAAGGGUUUGUAGGCUGAAAUGUAAGUCAAGUGUGAAAUCCCCGAGCUAAACUUGGGACGUGCAUUUGAAACUGUGUUUCUUGAGUAUCGUAGAGGGUGGUGGAAUUGUAGGUGUAGGAGUGACAUCCGUAGAGAUCUGCAGGAACAUCAGAGGCGAAGGCGACCACCUGGCCGAUUACUGACGCUGAGAAACGAAAGCGUGGGGAGCCAAACAGGG